rnacentral:rRNA from 1 species
AUUGAACGCUGGCGGCAUGCUUUACACAUGCAAGUCGGACGGCAGCAUAAAAGAGCUUGCUCUUUUGAUGGCGAGUGGCGAACGGGUGAGUAAUGCAUCGGAACGUACCGAGUAGUGGGGGAUAACUGUCCGAAAGGAUGGCUAAUACCGCAUAUUCUCUGAGGAGGAAAGCAGGGGACCUUAGGGCCUUGCGCUAUUUGAGCGGCCGAUGUCUGAUUAGCUAGUUGGUGGGGUAAGAGCCCACCAAGGCGACGAUCAGUAGCGGGUCUGAGAGGAUGAUCCGCCACACUGGGACUGAGACACGGCCCAGACUCCUACGGGAGGCAGCAGUGGGGAAUUUUGGACAAUGGGCGCAAGCCUGAUCCAGCCAUGCCGCGUGUAUGAAGAAGGCCUUCGGGUUGUAAAGUACUUUUGUCAGGGAAGAAAAGCCUGAGGAUAACACCCUCAGGUCAUGACGGUACCUGAAGAAUAAGCACCGGCUAACUACGUGCCAGCAGCCGCGGUAAUACGUAGGGUGCGAGCGUUAAUCGGAAUUACUGGGCGUAAAGCGAGCGCAGACGGUUAUUUAAGCAAGAUGUGAAAGCCCCGGGCUCAACCCGGGAACUGCGUUUUGAACUGGGUAACUAGAGUGUGUCAGAGGGGGGUAGAAUUCCACGUGUAGCAGUGAAAUGCGUAGAGAUGUGGAGGAAUACCGAUGGCGAAGGCAGCCCCCUGGGAUAACACUGACGUUCAUGCUCGAAAGCGUGGGUAGCAAACAGG